rnacentral:rRNA from 1 species
CCUACGGGUGGCUGCAGUGGGGAAUAUUGGACAAUGGGGGGAACCCUGAUCCAGCCAUGCCGCGUGUGUGAAGAAGGCCCUCGGGUUGUAAAGCACUUUCAGUGAGGAAGAACGCCUGGUGGUUAAUACCCAUCAGGAAAGACAUCACUCACAGAAGAAGCACCGGCUAACUCCGUGCCAGCAGCCGCGGUAAUACGGAGGGUGCGAGCGUUAAUCGGAAUUACUGGGCGUAAAGCGCGCGUAGGUGGCUUGAUAAGCCGGUUGUGAAAGCCCCGGGCUCAACCUGGGAACGGCAUCCGGAACUGUCAAGCUAGAGUGCAGGAGAGGAAGGUAGAAUUCCCGGUGUAGCGGUGAAAUGCGUAGAGAUCGGGAGGAAUACCAGUGGCGAAGGCGGCCUUCUGGACUGACACUGACACUGAGGUGCGAAAGCGUGGGUAGCAAACAGGAUUAGAUACUCUUGUAGUC